rnacentral:rRNA from 1 species
CCUACGGGAGGCAGCAGUGGGGAAUUUUGGACAAUGGGAGGCAACCCUGAUCCAGCCAUUCCGCGUGAGUGAAGAAGGCCUUCGGGUUGUAAAGGCUACUUUCGCAAGGGAAGAAAACUUAUGAUCGAAUAAAUCAUGAGGUUGACGGUACCUUGAUAAGAAGCACCGGCUAACUACGUGCCAGCAGCCGCGGUAAUACGUAGGGUGCGAGCGUUAAUCGGAAUUACUGGGCGUAAAGCGUGCGCAGGCGGUUUUGUAAGUCGGAUGUGAAAUCCCCGGGCUCAACCGUGGGAACUGCGUUCGAAACUGCAAGGCUAGAGUGUGUCAGAGGGGGGUAGAAUUCCACGUGUAGCAGUGAAAUGCGUAGAGAUGUGGAGGAAUACCAAUGGCGAAGGCAGCCCCCUGGGAUAACACUGACGCUCAUGCACGAAAGCGUGGGGAGCAAACAGGAUUAGAUACCCUGGUAGUCCACGCCCUAAACGAUGUCAACUAGUUGUUGGUAGAGUAAAAUCUAUGAGUAACGUAGCUAACGCGUAGAAGUUGACCGCUGGGGGAUACGGGUCGCGAAGAUUAAAACGCAAAAUGAAAUUGAACGG